AACGAACGCUGGCGGCAGGCCUAACACAUGCAAGUCGAGCGCCCCGCAAGGGGAGCGGCGGACGGGUGAGUAACGCGUGGGAACGUACCCCUUUCUACGGAAUAGCCUCGGGAAACUGGGAGUAAUACCGUAUAAGCCCUACGGGGGAAAGAUUUAUCGGGAAGGGAUCGGCCCGCGUUGGAUUAGGUAGUUGGUGGGGUAAUGGCCUACCAAGCCGACGAUCCAUAGCUGGUUUGAGAGGAUGAUCAGCCACACUGGGACUGAGACACGGCCCAGACUCCUACGGGAGGCAGCAGUGGGGAAUCUUAGACAAUGGGCGCAAGCCUGAUCUAGCCAUGCCGCGUGAGCGAUGAAGGCCUUAGGGUUGUAAAGCUCUUCCAGUGGGGAAGAUAAUGACUGUACCCACAGAAGAAGCCCCGGCUAACUCCGUG
rnacentral:rRNA from 1 species